AGAGUUUGAUCAUGGCUCAGAGCGAACGCUGGCGGCAGGCUUAACACAUGCAAGUCGAGCGGGUGUAGCAAUACAUCAGCGGCAGACGGGUGAGUAACGCGUGGGAACGUACCUUUUGGUUCGGAACAACCCAGGGAAACUUGGGCUAAUACCGGAUAAGCCCUUACGGGGAAAGAUUUAUCGCCGAAAGAUCGGCCCGCGUCUGAUUAGCUAGUUGGUGAGGUAACGGCUCACCAAGGCGACGAUCAGUAGCUGGUCUGAGAGGAUGAUCAGCCACAUUGGGACUGAGACACGGCCCAAACUCCUACGGGAGGCAGCAGUGGGGAAUAUUGGACAAUGGGCGCAAGCCUGAUCCAGCCAUGCCGCGUGAGUGAUGAAGGCCCUAGGGUUGUAAAGCUCUUUUGUGCGGGAAGAUAAUGACGGUACCGCAAGAAUAAGCCCCGGCUAACUUCGUGCCAGCAGCCGCGGUAAUACGAAGGGGGCUAGCGUUGCUCGGAAUCACUGGGCGUAAAGGGUGCGUAGGCGGGUCUUUAAGUCAGGGGUGAAAUCCUGGAGCUCAACUCCAGAACUGCCUUUGAUACUGAAGAUCUUGAGUUCGGGAGAGGUGAGUGGAACUGCGAGUGUAGAGGUGAAAUUCGUAGAUAUUCGCAAGAACACCAGUGGCGAAGGCGGCUCACUGGCCCGAUACUGACGCUGAGGCACGAAAGCGUGGGGAGCAAACAGGAUUAGAUACCCUAGUAGUCC
rnacentral:rRNA from 1 species